CCUUCGGGAGCCUAUACAGGUGUUGCAUGGCUGUCGUCAGCUCGUGUCGUGAGAUGUCGGUUAAGUCCGCUUAACGAGCGCAACCCUCGUCGUAUGUUAUAUGUGUCAGUACGAGACUGCCGGUAAAAAGCCGGAGGAAGGUGAGGAUGAUGUCAAGUCAGCAUGGCCUUUAUAUCCAGGGCUACACACACGCUACAAUGGUCUGUACAAUGGGUAGCCAAGCCGCGAGGCGGAGCCAAUCCUGAAAGCAGGCCUCAGUUCAGAUUGCAGUCUGCAACUCGACUGCAUGAAGCCGGAGUUGCUAGUAACCGCAGGUCAGCAAUACUGCGGUGAAUACGUUCCCGGGUCUU
rnacentral:rRNA from 1 species